UCCUGGUUAGUACAAUGGUUAGUAUAGGACACUCUCAUGACUUGCUUCUUCAUCAGAAGCGUGAUCUGUUCAGAUCGGGGUUCGAUUCCCCGGCCGGGAA